rnacentral:rRNA from 1 species
AGAAUCAACGCUGGCGGCGUGCCUAACACAUGCAAGUCGCACGAGAAAGUGGAGCAAUCCACGAGUACAGUGGCGCACGGGUGAGUAACACGUGAAUUAUCUACCUCCGAGUGGGGAAUAACUGAGAGAAAUCUUAGCUAAUACCGCAUAACACUUACGAGUCAAAGCAGCAAUGCGCUUGGAGAGGAGUUCGCGGCCGAUUAGUUAGUUGGCGGGGUAAUGGCCCACCAAGACGAUGAUCGGUA